UACGUAGGUGGCAAGCGUUGUCCGGAAUUACUGGGCGUAAAGCGCGCGUAGGCGGCUUUUCAAGUCGAUUGUGAAAUCCCCGGGCUUAACCUGGGAACUGCAGUCGAGACUGUCUAGCUAGAGUAUGGGAGAGGGAAGUGGAAUUUCAGGUGUAGCGGUGAAAUGCGUAGAUAUCUGAAGGAACACCGAUGGCGAAGGCAAUCCCCUGGGCCUGCACUGACGCUCAUGCACGAAAGCGUGGGGAGCAAACAGG
rnacentral:rRNA from 1 species